AACCUGGUUGAUCCUGCCAGUAGUCAUAUGCUUGUCUCAAAGACUAAGCCAUGCAUGUCUAAGUAUAAGUAUUAUACAGCGAAACUGCGAAUGGCUCAUUAAAACAGUUAUAAUUUAUUUGAUAAUCGAAUUUACAUGGAUAACCGUGGUAAUUCUAGAGCUAAUACAUGCUGGUAGGCCCGACUUUUUGGAAGGGCGGUAUUUAUUAGAUAACAAACCAAUAUUCCUCUGGUCUAUUGUGGUGAAUCAUAAUAACUGAUCGAAUCGCAAGGUUUUUAACCGCGAUAAGUCAUUCAAGUUUCUGCCCCAUCAGCUUUCGAUGGUAGUGUAUUGGACUACCAUGGCUUUUACGGGUAACGGAGGAUUAGGGUUCGAUUCCGGAGAGGGAGCCUGAGAAACGGCUACCACAUCUAAGGAAGGCAGCAGGCGCGUAAAUUACCCAAUCCUGACUCAGGGAGGUAGUGACAAGAAAUAACGGACCGAGGCCUUCGGGCUUCGGGAUUGCAAUGAGCCGAAUUUACACCCCUUAGCGAAGAUCGAUUGGAGGGCAAGUCUGGUGCCAGCAGCCGCGGUAAUUCCAGCUCCAAUAGCGUAUAUUAAUGUUGUUGCAGUUAAAAAGCUCGUAGUUGGAUUUCUGGGAAAGUGCAUAUGUCCGCUUAACGUGUGUGCAUCUGCGC
rnacentral:rRNA from 1 species